GUUUUUUGUUGUUAUUAAAAUUCAUAGCAUAUAAUUGUUUAAAAAAAAAAAAAGAUUCAUAGCAUAUAAUGGAUUGUAGAACAUUUGAAACUUGAGUUUCGCUUAUGAAUCGCUCAAAUUUUACUCAUUUGUUUAACUCAUUAAUAAAUUAAGGACACAUGCAAAACAUCUUCUCUAGCUGGUACGUCGGAUCAUUGCGCGAGUUCAAAUUUUGGUACCGGACUUCAAGUGUCUCGUCAAGCUUGUUGAAGAGUCCGCAUCGAUUGAGAGAUGAUAUGAAUAAAUGUUUGUAAGUGGGAACAAUCAUCAUAUCUUACAAAUCGAUUUUGAAGGGUUGUGUUAGGUUCAACCACGAUUCUAAAAAAGCUAACUCCAAUAUAUCGGUCCGAGCUAUAUGAUGAUCUAUGAAAUUUGUUGGUUAAUUACUAAUUAGCUAUUUGUCUUAGAUAUGAUUAAAGAUUUUUUAGAUACCGUUGUUCACUUCUUCUCCACCAAGCACGGAAGUUUAAGGAUAAUUGUAGGUCUUUUGUUAAAUGUAGUUACAAUAAUCUUAGAUAUGCCAUGAAUCAAUGUUUACAAGUAAGGACAAUCAUCAUCUUACUAGUCUGAUUUAUAAGUGAGAACAAUUAUUAUUUUAC
rnacentral:lncRNA from 1 species